rnacentral:rRNA from 1 species
UGGGGAAUCUUGGACAAUGGGGGCAACCCUGAUCCAGCCAUGCCGCGUGAGUGAUGAAGGCCUUAGGGUCGUAAAGCUCUUUCACCGGUGAAGAUAAUGACGGUAGCCGGAGAAGAAGCCCCGGCUAACUCCGUGCCAGCAGCCGCGGUAAUACGGAGGGGGCUAGCGUUGUUCGGAAUUACUGGGCGUAAAGCGCGCGUAGGCGGACUGAUCAGUCAGGGGUGAAAUCCCGGGGCUCAACCCCGGAACUGCCUUUGAUACUGUCAGUCUUGAGUCCGGAAGAGGCGAGUGGAAUACCGAGUGUAGAGGUGAAAUUCGUAGAUAUUUGGAGGAACACCAGUGGCGAAGGCGGCUCACUGGCUCGAUACUGACGCUGAGGUGCGAAAGUGUGGGGAGCAAACAGGAUUAGAUACCCUGGUAGUCCACACCGUAAACGAUGAAUGCCAGUCGUCGGGUAGCAUGCUAUUCGGUGACACACCUAACGGAUUAAGCAUUCCGCCUGGGAGUACGGUCGCAAGAUUAAAAGCUCAAA